rnacentral:rRNA from 1 species
CUUACACAUGCAAGUCGAACGGCAGCACGGGUGCUUGCACCUGGUGGCGAGUGGCGAACGGGUGAGUAAUACAUCGGAACGUGUCCUGUAGUGGGGGAUAGCCCGGCGAAAGCCGGAUUAAUACCGCAUACGAUCUACGGAUGUAGCGGGGGAUCUCCGGACCUCGCGCUAUAGGGGCGGCCGAUGGCGGAUUAGCUAGUUGGUGGGGUAAAGGCUCACCAAGGCGACGAUCCGUAGCUGGUCUGAGAGGACGACCAGCCACACUGGGACUGAGACACGGCCCAGACUCCUACGGGAGGCAGCAGUGGGGAAUUUUGGACAAUGGGCGAAAGCCUGAUCCAGCAAUGCCGCGUGUGUGAAGAAGGCCUUCGGGUUGUAAAGCACUUUUGUCCGGAAAGAAAUCCCUGGUCCUAAUAUGGCCGGGGGAUGACGGUACCGGAAGAAUUAAGCACCGGCUAACUACGUGCGAGCAGCCGCGGUAAUACGUUGGGUGCAAGCGUUAAUCGGAAUUACUGGGGCGUAAAGCGUGCG